rnacentral:rRNA from 1 species
UACGGAGGGUGCAAACGUUGCUCGGAAUCAUUGGGCGUAAAGCGCACGUAGGCGGACUGUUAAGUCGGAUGUGAAAGCCCUCGGCUUAACCGAGGAAGUGCAUUCGAAACUGGCAGUCUUGAGUACAGAAGAGGGUCGCGGAAUUCCCGGUGUAGAGGUGAAAUUCGUAGAUAUCGGGAGGAACACCAGUGGCGAAGGCGGCGACCUGGGCUGAUACUGACGCUGAGGCGCGACAGCGUGGGGAGCAAACAGG